rnacentral:rRNA from 1 species
CCUACGGGAGGCAGCAGUGGGGAAUUUUGGACAAUGGGGGCAACCCUGAUCCAGCCAUGCCGCGUGAGUGAAGAAGGCCUUCGGGGUUGUAAAGCUCUUUCGGCCGGGAAGAAAUCGCAUGGGUUAAUACCCUGUGCGGAUGACGGUACCGGCAUAAGAAGCACCGGCUAACUACGUGCCAGCAGCCGCGGUAAUACGUAGGGUGCGAGCGUUAAUCGGAAUUACUGGGCGUAAAGCGUGCGCAGGCGGUUUUGUAAGACAGGCGUGAAAUCCCCGGGCUCAACCUGGGAACUGCGCUUGUGACUGCAAGGCUAGAGUAUGGCAGAGGGGGGUGGAAUUCCACGUGUAGCAGUGAAAUGCGUAGAGAUGUGGAGGAACACCAAUGGCGAAGGCAGCCCCCUGGGCCAAUACUGACGCUCAUGCACGAAAGCGUGGGUAGCAAACAGGAUUAGAUACCCUGGUAGUCCACGCCCUAAACGAUGUCAACUAGGUGUUGGGGUGGGUAAAACCAUUUAGUACCGGAGCUAACGCGUGAAGUUUGACCGCCUGGGGGAGUACGGCCGCAAGGGUUAAAAACUCAAAGGGAAUUGACGG